GUAAAUGUAACUAAAUGCCUAUGUAGGCAGUUAUGCAGGAAUGGUUAUAUCAUAGCAAGCAUGAGUUGUAAGCAGUGGCGUCACUAGGGAGGGGUAGAAGGGGCCAUGGCCCCCCUACAUCAUGCUGUGCUCCCCCUUGGGCCCCCCCAAAUGCCAGCAACUUGCUGGCCAUGUUCUUCCCUCGGACUGUAACAGCCUAUUACAGCCCGAGGGAAUGCAGUGCUGAGGUACUGG